AGUUACCUGCAACAAUAUUACAUUUUAAGUACAUUUAUUUAUUUAAUAAUAGAUUUUUUCUGUAAUUCCUACUUUUCUUCGUAAAGAAAUAAUUUGAAAUAACAAUAAGAGUUACUUAUUAAAACAUGUCCAGAGAUAUGAGACACAGUGAUCAGUUUUGAUGAAUGUUAAAGGUCGACAAACAAAAAGAGACGUCGCCUAUGGACAUCUGCAACAUAGAUUUGCGGAUGUGUUGCCACCCUCGAUUAGGGAAGAGGGGGAUGAAAAGUGGGAAAGGGAGGGAAAAAGGAAGGGUUAGGAAAGGUUGGUAAAAUGGAAAUUGUAACCGGCUCUCUCACUAAUCGAACGAAACGCAGCCAUUACAGACUACUUCACGCCGAUCUUCUGUGAGAGGGUGGUACUUCCCCGGUCGAGCCAGCCCUUGUUCGAGCUGCAGUGACUUAGCCAGAGCUAGGCUCUACCACCUACUAAAAUGAGAUUAGACUGAGAAGGACAGGAGAUUAACUUCUUUCAGGACGAAUGAAAAUCAAAACAUCGCUUCAUAAACCCCAUAAACAUUAUAAUUUUCAAUGUAAAUAUAUAGACUUACAAUAAUAAAGAUACUGACUAGCACUUACUCAAGUGUCCUUCAAACAAUUGAUGUCUCACACAUUACUCACUCCACAUAUGGAAUGCAUUUACGUUAAUUUUAUAGUCAAUUAAAUCGAAACUAGGACCAACUUAUCAUAAUGCUUUCAAAUUAAUUUUUUACGAUGCUCAUAAAAUCAACGCCAGAGUCGGAACUGAGCACAUUUCUAUAGAACCUAAUAUAGACUUCGUGACAUGUACGAGUAGAUACUCUUAACAGUUGGAAUGUGAAAUAAUCGAUAAUAAAUCGAAAAAUACGUUAACAAUUAUUUUAAGUAACGUGGGCUGGCAACACGAGGAGAGCGGACGAGCGACGAAUAGUUUGUAGUUUGGAAUGCAAAAAAUAUGAGAUAAAUAAUUAAUUACUAAGUUUGUUUGUGUCUGAGUAUAGAGCUGAAACAAGUCGGGAUAGUGGACACCGUCUUGGAGCUGGGGAAUGUUUGACACGAGAGACUUGGCUGUUGGCUUCUUAUAUACGAAAAGAAAAGGACAACACUUACUUGAAGUUUCGUAAUAAUUAAUUCUCUUUCCCUAAAAAUAUAUUUUUAAUUAACUCAAUUGCAAUAUUAAAGUUGUGCCCGAUGUUUUCAUAUAAUAUAGAUAGUUUCACAUCGUCAUGUAACACACUGAGUACAGUUUUCUUGCAUCAUCACCGCGUGAACUAAGAUGUUUGCAUGGAAAGUCGAGCUUCCGAGUUUUUUUAUCGACAGAACAAACUAUAAUACAUUCCAUACAAGAGCUGGUGCCGACAAUACGCCUCGCACGAACCGCGAACCAAUUAAACCCGCUCUUAGGAACAAAGUGAGCACAAAAUAAGACGCUUUAAUAGUCCCGGGAACUUUGAUCUUUCCGAGGGCUGACCAUGAUUUACAACAUUCGGACGCCGGCUGCUCGAACUGAGAUUAAAAUUUAAUUUUCUUUAAGAAAACUUAAUUACUGUCCGCGACGGAGAAUCUUGCUAUAGAGUUGUAUACAUAUAGAUUAUAAAGUGGACUAUGAUUCUAAGAAGACGACUUGGUAUACAUAAAGUUUCAAUUAUUAAAAAGUAUUUGUCGAACAUGUAUAAAAAAGAUAAAUUAGUAACAAAACCACUCUAUUUAUGGAGAAACUGGUAAAAACAUGUUUAAAAAUUACAAACAUCACGUCUAAAGCUGGUUCGAAGGAUGUUACGAAUUUAUAUUAUAUAAUUUUUUUAAUUAUAUAUUUUUUUCCUAAUCGGAAAAACAUUUCCUAUCUUUAUGAACAUAUAUUUCUAUAAUAAUUAUCCCUAACGAAAGAAGAAAGAGAGAGAGUGUGUCCUAAGCUCUACGUGACUACUUUGAGGGCUGAGCGAUGUUCGUUCCGAGCGUUCUAUUUCCGGACGUGCGCAAAUAGCACGCGCCCGGAAUAACGCGCAAAGGUCGCAGGACCACUAGCCGUACCAGCUGCUGUGAACGACGAGUAUCGCUGAGGAAGGGUGACCGAAGACGGAGUGCCAGGGACGGAAGACGGAGGAUGGAGGUCAGAGGACGGAGGCGGAGGACCCACAGAUGACCAAAGAUGGGAGAUGGGCCACACGUACCUAUGGACUGAUGACACGCCGGCAACACGAUCGUUAAAGACCCGUGAUAUGGAUAUCUCCUCGCAUUGAAGAACUCGAAUAUUGAAGAAAAAACUCUUGCAAUAACAAUAGAUUUCUCUUUUCAAUCACCUACAGUUAAUGCUAGAAAUGUCCUGAAUGUAACAAGUCGAAUCUGUCCAGACAUGUGGCUAUUCUAGAAUGUUUAUGCCUCUGCUCGUGUCUCUAUACGCGUUGUAUUCCUUAUUAAGUAGUAAUAUAUUUAUGAUAAAGA